CGAGCCUCGUGCUCUUCUCGAAUUUUCUUCCUUCUCAAUUUUCAUCUCGUGAGUGUAGCAACAUGAAUUAUAGCUUGUCAAGCAAUACAUUUUCUCAGCGUUGAGAAGAUUCUGCUCCAUUUUUUCUGAUUAUGGAUUCUGUUCAGAAGGAAGCCGAAUUUUAAGUCAUCGUUCUAGGAUAGUAUUUUAGUAUGAAAAUUUCCAGACCUAUAGAAAAUUUGAAAUACUUGCACCAUGAAUAUCCAGAUUCAGCUCCAUUUUCUCUGGUGGUAGAUCUCCAUGGAUGCUAUUGAGAAGGUACUUCUCAAAGUCCACGAGGACAAGGACAUCUUUCCACCGAAUGCCACCUGGUUUAUAACAAAAGCAUGAAAAACAAACAGGAAUUUCUCAAUGCAGAAAGGACUGAAGCUGUCAAAGGUGUGCUUUUUUUCUGCACAAACAAGUUUCCAUUGAAUGAUAGAAUAAAGAGAUACUGACUUCCCCGGAGCCUCCAAACUUGAGUAGUCAGCUGCACUUCAAGGGAAGUUAUUGAAUAUGUCCUAUCCAACUAAAACAAGGAAAUGAUGAAAAAAAUAAAAUCACUUUCCAGAGGCCUCAGGGCUAACUGGAGACAGAGCUCAGACUGCAACUGAGAAAAGUUGGACUCCAAAACCUGUACUCUGAGCUUUACUGCAUGAGAAAGUUAUUGAAAUGUGCCUUGUGACAUUCAGAAUAAGUGACUUUUCAGAGGUCUCAGAGUCAGUAAGAGACAGAACUCAGAUUGUAACCAAGAAGAGCUGAACUCCAAACUUCUGUGUCCGGAAUUGGUGGGUUCUUGGUCUCACUGACUUCAAGAAUGAAGCGGCAGACCCUCGCGG
rnacentral:lncRNA from 10 species